rnacentral:rRNA from 1 species
GAUGAACGCUGGCGGCGUGCCUAAUACAUGCAAGUCGAGCGAACGGACGAGAAGCUUGCUUCUCUGAUGUUAGCGGCGGACGGGUGAGUAACACGUGGAUAACCUACCUAUAAGACUGGGAUAACUUCGGGAAACCGGAGCUAAUACCGGAUAAUAUUUUGAACCGCAUGGUUCACAAGUGAAAGAAGGUCUUGCUGUCACUUAUAGAUGGAUCCGCGCUGCAUUAGCUAGUUGGUAAGGUAACGGCUUACCAAGGCAACGAUGCAUAGCCGACCUGAGAGGGGGAUCGGCCACACUGGAACUGAGACACGGUCCAGACUCCUACGGGAGGCAGCAGUAGGGAAUCUUCCGCAAUGGGCGAAAGCCUGACGGAGCAACGCCGCGUGAGUGAUGAAGGUCUUCGGAUCGUAAAACUCUGUUAUUAGGGAAGAACAUAUGUGUAAGUAACUGUGCACAUCUUGACGGUACCUAAUCAGAAAGCCACGGCUAACUACGUG